rnacentral:ncRNA from 2 species
AUAUGUCUUCAGGGCAGGGUGUAAUUCCCGACCGGUGGUAAAGUCCACGAGCUUACAAAUGUAAGUUGACUUGGUGCAAUUCCAAGACCGACAGUAUAGUCUGGAUGGAAGAAGCGAUAA